CGAUCAGAUCAACGAUGUAGAGGGAUCGAGAGAGAUCCAGUGUCUCUGACUCGGUAUUGCGACCCGAUUACCCGAGGGCGAGACCAGGUCGUAUUCUCGCCGUCAGGCCAUCUACCGGCGUUAGCUUUGAAUCCUUGACGCCGACGCAUUCCUGAUCUCAAAUUGUCCAUUCAUAGACGGAUGGCGAAGGUACGAAGCUGGACAGCUUAAGGCAUCCCUGGUGGUUCUCCAACGUUUUCCGGCGACUCCAACUACGGAUUGAGCUGCAUAUGGUAUGAAACUUAAUCCUCUCGUCACGCUCUACAUGAUAGUAUAAAUAGUUUUUGAAUUCGAUUGGGUUCUGACGAAAGUAUGUUUUUGGGUGACAUCGGAUUUCACUGUGAUUCCGGUUUAAGGCAGCAAUUCCGGAGUUUUUGAUUCGCCUCCGAUAGCUAUUUCUCGGUAUUGUUGCUUGCGUUCCUCCAAUGAGGCCUA
rnacentral:lncRNA from 1 species